rnacentral:rRNA from 1 species
UGCGCAGGCGGCCGUGUGUGUGAGGCGUGAAAGCCCGGAGCUCAACUCCGGAAUGGCACCUCAAACUACACGGCUAGAGCAUUGGAGAGGGUAGCAGAAUUCACGGUGUAGCAGUGAAACGCGUAGAUAUCGUGAGGAAUACCAGAGGCGAAGGCGGCUACCUGGACAAUUGCUGACGCUCAGGCACGAAAGCGUGGGGAGCAAAAGGGAUUAGAUACCCCUGUAGUCCACGCCCUAAACGGUGCGCACUAGGUCUUGGAGGAUUCGACCCCUUCAGGGCCCAAGCUAACGCGUUAAGUGCGCCGCCUGAGGACUACGGCCGCAAGGCUAAA